rnacentral:rRNA from 1 species
CAGUGGGAGCACCCUUUGGGUGUGACUGCGUACCUUUUGUAUAAUGGGUCAGCGACUUAUAUUCUGUAGCAAGGUUAACCGAAUAGGGGAGCCGGAGGGAAACCGAGUCUUAACCGGGCGUUAAGUUGCAGGGUAUAGACCCGAAACCCGGUGAUCUAGCCAUGGGCAGGUUGAAGGUUGGGUAACACUAACUGGAGGACCGAACCGACUAAUGUUGAAAAAUUAGCGGAUGACCUGUGGCUGGGGGUGAAAGGCCAAUCAAACCGGGAGAUAGCUGGUUCUCCCCGAAAGCUAUUUAGGUAGCGCCUCGUGAAUUCAUCUCCGGGGGUAGAGCACUGUUUCGGCUAGGGGGCCAUCCCGGCUUACCAACCCGAUGCAAACUGCGAAUACCGGAGAAUGUUAUCACGGGAGACACACGGCGGGUGCUAACGUCCGUCGUGAAGAGGGAAACAACCCAGACCGCCAGCUAAGGUCCCAAAGUCAUGGUUAAGUGGGAAACGAUGUGGGAAGGCCCAGACAGCCAGGAUGUUGGCUUAGAAGCAGCCAUCAUUUAAAGAAAGCGUAAUAGCUCACUGGUCGAGUCGGCCUGCGCGGAAGAUGUAACGGGGCUAAACCAUGCACCGAAGCUGCGGCAGCGACACUGUGUGUUGUUGGGUAGGGGAGCGUUCUGUAAGCCUGUGAAGGUGUGUCGUGAGGCAUGCUGGAGGUAUCAGAAGUGCGAAUGCUGACAUAAGUAACGAUAAAGCGGGUGAAAAGCCCGCUCGCCGGAAGACCAAGGGUUCCUGUCCAACGUUAAUCGGGGCAGGGUGAGUCGACCCCUAAGGCGAGGCCGAAAGGCGUAGUCGAUGGGAAACGGGUUAAUAUUCCCGUACUUGGUGUUACUGCGAAGGGGGGACGGAGAAGGCUAUGUUGGCCGGG